CAACUCGACUACAUGAAGCUGGAAUCGCUAGUAAUCGCAGAUCAGAAUGCUGCGGUGAAUACGUUCCCGGGUCUUGUACACACCGCCCGUCACACCAUGGGAGUCGGAAAUGCCCGAAGCCGGUGACCCAACCAAAAGGAGGGAGCCGUCGAAGGCAGGUCUGAUAACUGGGGUGAAGUCGUAACAAGGUAAC
rnacentral:rRNA from 1 species